rnacentral:rRNA from 1 species
GUGCCAGCCGCCGCGGUAAUACCGGCAGCCCAAGUGAUGUCCCAUAUUAUUGGGCCUAAAGCGUCCGUAGCUGGCCGACAAAGUCUCCCGGGAAAUCCACCCGCCCAACGGGUGGGCGUCCGGCGGAACCUGUGUGGCUUGGGACCGGGAGGCCUGAGGGGUACGAUCGGGGUGGGAGUGAAAUCCUGUAAUCCCGCUCGGACCGCCGAUGGGGAAACCACCUCAGGAGAACGGAUCCGACAGUGAGGGACGAAAGCCAGGGUCUCCAACCGGAUUAGAAACCCUGGUAGUCC